AGCAGUCGCCGCGGUAAUACGUAGGUGGCGAGCGUUGUCCGGAAUCAUUGGGCGUAAAGGGAGCGCAGGCGGGCACGUAAGUCUUUCUUAAAAGUGCGGGGCUCAACCCCGUGAUGGGAAAGAAACUACAUGCCUUGAGUACAGGAGAGGAAAGCGGAAUUCCCAGUGUAGCGGUGAAAUGCGUAGAUAUUGGGAAAAACACCAGUGGCGAAGGCGACUUUCUGGACGAAAACUGACGCUGAGGCGCGAAAGCCAGGGGAGCGAACGGGAUUAGAUACCCGUGUAGUCCCUGUCUCUUAUACA
rnacentral:rRNA from 1 species